rnacentral:sRNA from 1 species
CUUGUGAGUAAUCUACCCAUCGAACCCACAUAUGUAUGUUAGAAGAUUGCAGGUGGAAAUGUGGAGAGUUGAUAACAAAGAGGGAGGAGUUAAGAGCUCCCCCAUUCCCCUGGCUAAUAGGAUCGUUAGUUUGCACAGAUUGAUUGAUCACACGAUCCUUUCAAAGACGAUAUACCAGGUACGGAUAUGGGCCUGGACGAAACUUGGCUUUGAGGACUGAGACAACGAUCACGAGGAUGAUUUUCAUUCAUAGCACCCUAGGUGGCAUCAUAAAAAGUCUCUUAGCAUCUUUAUUCA